CCCUCGUCUUACCCAGCAGUGUUUGGGUGCUGGUCCGGAGUCUCUAAUACUGCCGGGUAAUGAUGGAGG
rnacentral:pre_miRNA from 1 species